rnacentral:rRNA from 1 species
CACAUGCAAGUCCGAACGAAGAGCGACGGAAGCUUGCUUCUAUCAAUUCUUAGUGGCGAACGGGGUGAGUAACGCGUAAUCAACCCUGCCCUUCCAGAAGGGGGACAACCAGUUUGGAAACCGACCUGCUAAAUACCCGCAUACGAUCCUAAUCCUCGGCAUCCGAGGAUAGAUGAAAGGUUGGCCUCUACAUGUAAAGCUAUCCACUGAAGGAGGGGAUUGCGUCCUGAUUAGCUAGUUGGAAGGGGUAACCAGCCCACCCAAGGCGAUGAUCAGUAGCCCGGUCUGAGAGGAUGAACGGCCCACAUUGGGACUGAGACACGGCCCCAGA